rnacentral:rRNA from 1 species
CCUACGGGAGGCAGCAGUGGGGAAUAUUGCACAAUGGGGGGAACCCUGAUGCAGCGACGCCGCGUGAGUGAAGAAGUAUUUCGGUAUGUAAAGCUCUAUCAGCAGGGACGAAAAUGACGGUACCUGACUAAGAAGCCACGGCUAACUACGUGCCAGCAGCCGCGGGAAUACGUAGGGGGCCAGCGUUAUCCGGAUUUACUGGGUGUAAAGGGAGCGCAGACGGCUGUGCAAGUCUGGAGUGAAAGGCGGGGGCCCAACCCCGGGACGGCUCUGGAAACUGUAAAGCUGGAGUGCAGGAGAGGUAAGCGGAAUUCCUAGUGUAGCGGUGAAAUGCGUAGAUAUUAGGAGGAACACCAGUGGCGAAGGCGGCUUACUGGACUGUAACUGACGUUGAGGCUCGAAAGCGUGGGGAGCAAACAGGAUUAGAUACCCGAGUAGUC